UCCAUUCUGCACACGUGAUUGCUAGGAAA
rnacentral:sRNA from 1 species